rnacentral:lncRNA from 1 species
GGGUGGGUUUUGAAACCCUUCUCCUAGCCACAUGGCAUCCAGUCGGCUCCUGGAUUCCUUUGGCUGAAGGAGUUGCCUUGGUCAUGGUGUCUGUUCACAGCAGUGGAAACCCUAAUUCAGACAGUAACCUAGCAGCCUCCCCUGACUCUAAACAACAUGAUGGGCUGACAGAUAAUGUCUUUCUCGCUGGAGGUCUUGACCACCCCAAAAACCCAGCUGAAUAGGGAAUUGGUCUGGAGCAAAGCCUGUGAGCCAAAGGUGUGUGUGCUGAUCCGAGGAUGGAGUCUUCUGACCUAGGUGAAGUCUAUUGUCCUGCCACAUCUGCAGCUUCCUGCAAGAAGCCACUACCUGCUGAGCAGCUGAGCUUGUUUUCCUGACGAGAUGCUGACAAAGCAGGGAGGAGAUCCUGGCAAAGAGGGGGAUGGAUUUCCCCCCCUUUAAAAAUUCAGACUCAAGAAUUAAAGUUGAACCUUGAUCAGA